AGGAAUAUUGGUCAAUGGGCGAGAGCCUGAACCAGCCAAGUAGCGUGAAGGAUGAAGGUCCUACGGAUUGUAAACUUCUUUUAUACGGGAAUAAAGUGAGGCACGUGUGCCUUUUUGUAUGUACCGUAUGAAUAAGGAUCGGCUAACUCCGUGCCAGCAGCCGCGGUAAUACGGAGGAUCCGAGCGUUAUCCGGAUUUAUUGGGUUUAAAGGGAGCGUAGGCGGACGCUUAAGUCAGUUGUGAAAGUUUGCGGCUCAACCGUAAAAUUGCAGUUGAUACUGGGUGUCUUGAGUACAGUAGAGGCAGGCGGAAUUCGUGGUGUAGCGGUGAAAUGCUUAGAUAUCACGAAGAACUCCGAUUGCGAAGGCAGCUUGCUGGACUGUAACUGACGCUGAUGCUCGAAAGUGUGGGUAUCAAACAGGAUUAGAUACCCUGGUAGUCCACACGGUAAACGAUGAAUACUCGCUGUUUGCGAUAUACAGUAAGCGGCCAAGCGAAAGCGUUAAGUAUUCCACCUGGGGAGUACGCCGGCAACGGUGAAACUCAAAGGAAUUGACGGGGGCCCGCACAAGCGGAGGAACAUGUGGUUUAAUUCGAUGAUACGCGAGGAACCUUACCCGGGCUUGAAUUGCAACUGAAUGAUGUGGAGACAUGUCAGCCGCAAGGCAGUUGUGAAGGUGCUGCAUGGUUGUCGUCAGCUCGUGCCGUGAGGUGUCGGCUUAAGUGCCAUAACGAGCGCAACCCUUAUCGAUAGUUACCAUCAGGUUAUGCUGGGGACUCUGUCGAGACUGCCGUCGUAAGAUGUGAGGAAGGUGGGGAUGACGUCAAAUCAGCACGGCCCUUACGUCCGGGGCUACACACGUGUUACAAUGGGGGGUACAGAAGGCAGCUACACGGCGACGUGAUGCUAAUCCCUAAAGCCUCUCUCAGUUCGGAUUGGAGUCUGCAACCCGACUCCAUGAAGCUGGAUUCGCUAGUAAUCGCGCAUCAGCCACGGCGCGGUGAAUACGUUCCCG
rnacentral:rRNA from 1 species